CAAUAGCGUAUAUUAAAGUUGUUGCAGUUAAAAAGCUCGUAGUUGAAUUUCUGGCGGGCGCGCCGGUCUUCCAAGUGUUGUACUGGGCGCAGUCCGCCAUCCUUGUGGAGAGGGCUCGCAUUGAGUUGCGUGUCGGAUCUGCAUCAUUUACUGUGAGUGUUCAAAGCAGGCUGUCGCUUGAAUACAUUAGCAUGGAAUAAUAAGAUAGGACUUCGGUCUAUUUUGUUGGUUGCGAACCGAGGUAAUGAUUAAUAGGGAUAGUUGGGGGUAUUCAUAUUUAAUUGUCAGAGGUGAAAUUCUUGGAUUUAUGAAAGAUGAACAACUGCGAAAGCAUUUACCAAGGAUGUUUUCAUUAA
rnacentral:rRNA from 1 species